UUGAUCCUGGCUCAGAUCGAGCGCUGGCGGCGUGGCUAAGACAUGCAAGUCGCACGAGAAAGUUCCUUCGGGAACGAGUAGAGUGGCGAAAGGGUGAGGAAUACAUGGAUAACGUACUCCAGGCACAGGGAUAGCCGUGGGAAACCGCGGGUAAUACCUGACACCGUCAUGAUGCUGCAGGGCAUCUUGAUGAAAGGUGGGGACCUUCGGGCCUAUCGGCCUGGGAGCGGUCCAUGUCCUAUCAGCUUGUUGGUGAGGUAACGGCUCACCAAGGCAACGACGGGUACCGGGACUGAGAGGUUGACCCGGCACAUUGGGACUGAGACACUGCCCAGACUCCUACGGGAGGCUGCAGUAACGAAUAUUGCACAAUGGGCGCAAGCCUGAUGCAGCGACGCCGCGUGUGGGAGUAAGCCCUUCGGGGUGUAAACCACUGUCAGGGACUACCAAGCAAUGGAGGUGAAUAAUCUCCUGCGUUGAGGCGUCCCAGAGGAAGUCACGGCUAACUUCGUGCCAGCAGCCGCGGUAAUACGAAGGUGGCAAGCGUUGUUCGGAAUCACUGGGCUUAAAGAGCACGUAGGCGGACUGUCAAGCGUCUUGUGAAAUCCCUCGGCUUAACCGAGGAAUUGCUGGGCGAACUGACAGUCUUGAGGCAAGUAGGGGCGCACGGAACUCUUGGUGGAGCGGUGGAAUGCGUAGAUAUCAAGAGGAACGCCAGAGGCGAAGGCGGUGCGCUGGGCUUGACCUGACGCUGAGGUGCGAAAGCCAGGGGAGCGAACGGGAUUAGAUACCCCGGUAGUCCUGGCCAUAAACGAUGUCUACUAGAUCUGAGGUGUUCUGACACACUUCUGGUCGAAACAAAAGCGUUAAGUAGACCGCCUGGGGAGUACGGUCGCAAGGCUAAAACUCAAAGGAAUUGACGGGGGCUCACACAAGCGGUGGAGCAUGUUGCUUAAUUCGAUGCAACGCGAAGAACCUUAUCCUGGGCUUGACAUGCUUGGAUGCCCAUCUAGAAAUAGAGUAGGCUGCCCUUCGGGGUGAAACUUGCACAGGUGCCGCAUGGCUGUCGUCAGCUCGUGUCGUGAGAUGUUGGGUUAAGUCCCGUAACGAGCGAAACCCUUGUCGUUAGUUGCCAGCGAGUAAAGUCGGGGACUCUAACGAGACUGCCGGUGUUAAACCGGAGGAAGGUGGGGAUGACGUCAAGUCCUCAUGGCCUUUAUGCCCAGGGCUGCAAACGUGCUACAAUGGCGUGUACAAACCGAUGCAAGACCGCGAGGUGGAGCAAAUCGGAAAAAGCACGCCCCAGUUCGGAUUGGAGUCUGCAACUCGACUCCAUGAAGUUGGAAUCGCUAGUAAUCGCAGAUCAGCAAUGCUGCGGUGAAUGUGUUCCUGAGCCUUGUACACACCGCCCGUCAAGUCAUGGAAGCCGGGAGCACCCGAAGUCGGGGU
rnacentral:rRNA from 1 species